GAUGAACGCUGGCGGCGUGCCUAAUACAUGCAAGUCGAGCGAACAGACGAGGAGCUUGCUCCUCUGACGUUAGCGGCGGACGGGUGAGUAACACGUGGAUAACCUACCUAUAAGACUGGGAUAACUUCGGGAAACCGGAGCUAAUACCGGAUAAUAUAUUGAACCGCAUGGUUCAAUAGUGAAAGACGGUUUUGCUGUCACUUAUAGAUGGAUCCGCGCCGCAUUAGCUAGUUGGUAAGGUAACGGCUUACCAAGGCAACGAUGCGUAGCCGACCUGAGAGGGUGAUCGGCCACACUGGGACUGAGACACGGUCCAGACUCCUACGGGAGGCAGCAGUAGGGAAUCUGGCGCAAUGGGCGAAAGCCUGACGGAGCAACGCCGCGUGAGUGAUGAAGGUCGUCGGAUCGUAAAACUCUGUUAUUAGGGAAGAACAAAUGUGUAAGUAACUAUGCACGUCUUGACGGUACCUAAUCAGAAAGCCACGGCUAACUACGUG
rnacentral:rRNA from 1 species